rnacentral:rRNA from 14 species
GGCCUGAGAGGGUGACCGGCCACACUGGGACUGAGACACGGCCCAGACUCCUACGGGAGGCAGCAGUGGGGAAUAUUGCACAAUGGGCGAAAGCCUGAUGCAGCGACGCCGCGUGAGGGAUGACGGCCUUCGGGUUGUAAACCUCUUUCAGUAGGGAAGAAGCGAAAGUGACGGUACCUGCAGAAGAAGCGCCGGCUAACUACGUGCCAGCAGCCGCGGUAAUACGUAGGGCGCAAGCGUUAUCCGGAAUUAUUGGGCGUAAAGAGCUCGUAGGCGGUUUGUCGCGUCUGCUGUGAAAGGCCAGGGCUCAACCCUGGUUCUGCAGUGGGUACGGGCAGACUUGAGUGAUGUAGG